rnacentral:lncRNA from 1 species
AUGUGGCUGCUGACGGCGGGAGGAAGCGGCUGGGUGAGCUGUUCUGCGCGGGCCCUGCGCGGGCACUGCUCCUCCAGCCGCGGGGAGGACCGGUCCUCCACCGCACCUGCACCUCGGGGGGCUGCGGGGGCUCUCCAGCCCCUCAGGGAACAGGGGCAGCUGUUUUUCCCAGCAACUCCUGCUUCAGCGUGGCCUUGUCACCGUGCCACGGCCCCKCCUCUGCUCCAGGCCCCUCUUUCCGCGCUUGCUGCCCGGGAUCUGGCACGGCCGCGGCUCCCGGAGCAGCUCCGGCUGCAGGUGCCACAGCGCAGCACCGCGCCUGGAGGACGGGAACCCCUGGACCUCCCUGGGGGUUGGGGCACCCCGCUUAGCAGCACCCACCCUCCACCCAGCCGCGCGCCCCGUCGCACCACGUCCCUGCAGGACGCCAGCGCCGAGACCGCGGUGGCACCGCCACGAYGUCGGCGCUGGGGGGGCCGGGGCGAGCUGGGGCCACCGACCCCCCAGAGCCAGGCGGCAGCUCUGCUGGGCUCGGGGCAGCCCUCACCCCCGCCUUAUCCGCACUCACACCAGCGCCUCAGCGCCCUGCGGACACCCAGCAAAGCCCUGGCCAGUGCGACCAAGAGGGCAGAAGGGGGUGGCACCAUCCGCCCCGCCCCGCGCCGCCUCUCCCGCCCGCCCGGCCGCAGCAGCCCCGGGCACCGCCGCCUUCCCCGCCUCCCCGGGCGGCUGCAGAGCUUCCUCCCUUCAGCUCCUCCUCCUCCUCCUCCUCCUCCCCCCUCCAGGCGCGCUGAAGAAACGAAAGCGAGAGCAGCCAGUGCGAGGGUGACGAGCGGCGCAGGCCCCGCCACCCGCAGCCGCAUGCCCGCCACCCCCGAGGCCUCGCUGCCAGCCCCCGCGGCUGCCGGCGCCCCCGGCCCGCCCCCCCCGGCAGGUAACGUGGGCGACGGACGGGGCGGGAGGGCGCAGCGCGGCCGCAGGGGGGGGCAAAGCCCUUGCAUGGGG